rnacentral:rRNA from 1 species
GACGAACGCUGGCGGCGUGCUUAACACAUGCAAGUCGAACACCGGCGCACGGGUGAGUAAUAAGUAACCAACCUGCACUGUACUCGGGGAUAGCCUUUCGAAAGAAAGAUUAAUAACAGAUAUAAAGGUUGGGUCUGCGUUCCAUUAGGUUGUUGGUGCGGCACAGGCCCACCAAGCCUUCGCUGGAUAGGGGUUCUGAGAGGAAGGUCCACCACAUUGGAACUGUGACACGGUCCAAACUCCUACGGGGGGCAGGAGUGAGGAAUAGUGGGCAAGGGGCGCUAGCCUGAACCAGCCAAGUAGCGUGAAGGAUGAAGGCUUAUGGGUCGUAAACUUUUUUUAUAUAAGAAUAUGUAUUAUAUGAAUAAGGAACGGCUAACUCCGUGCCAGCCGCCGCGGUAAUAC